rnacentral:rRNA from 1 species
GGUGGUGCAUGGCCGUUCUUAGUUGGUGGAGUGAUUUGUCUGGUUAAUUCCGAUAACGAACGAGACCUUAACCUGCUAACUAGUUCUCAAUACUCUGUAUUCUGCAACUUCUUAGAGGGACUAUGUAAAUCAAUUACAUGGAAGUUUGAGGCAAUAACAGGUCAGUGAUGCCCUUAUAUGUCSUGGGCUGCACGCGUGCUACACUGAUGCAUACAACAAGUGCCUAGCCAGACAUGGUAUGGCAAUCUCGAAUAUGCAUCGUGAUGGGGAUAGAUCUUUGCAAUU